rnacentral:rRNA from 1 species
AUGAAGGUCCCGUCUGGAUUCUCGUCCAAUAUAAAGGGAAUAAUAAACAUGGCGGAGAAAAAGUUCCAAAACCUGAAGUCUCACGACUGCCACGUGAUUAUGACGCAAUUGCUUCCGAUUGCUUUGAGGGGGCUCCUGCCGGAAAAUGUUCGAGUAGCCAUUGUGAAGCUAUGUGCAUUCCUCAAUGCAAUCUCUCAGAAGGUAAUCAAUCCAGAAGUUCUACCACGGUUACAGAACGAUGUGAUCCAAUGUCUUGUCAGUUUCGAGUUGGUGUUCCCGCCAUCCUUCUUCAAUAUUAUGACGCACCUCCUGGUUCACCUAGUCGAAGAGAUUUUCGUUCUCGGUCCUGUAUUUCUACACAAUAUGUUCCCCUUCGAGAGGUUCAUGGGAGUAUUAAAGAAAUAUGUUCGUAAUCGUGCUAGGCCAGAAGGAAGCAUCGCCAAGGGCUGA